rnacentral:rRNA from 1 species
AACCUGGUUGAUCCUGCCAGUAGUCAUACACUUGUCUUAAAGAUUAAGCCAUGCAUGUCUAAGUGCUUUGAUGAUUUCACAUUAGACUGCAGACGGCUCAUUACAACAGUUAUUGUAUUAUUGAUAUUAUCUUAUAGGUGGAUACCUGUGGAAAUUCUAGAGCUAAUACAUGACAAAAAAAUAUAUAUAAAUUUAAUUUAUUAUGUUAGGCUUUUAAUUUUUUCAAAUCAAAGUGUUUCUUCACUAUGGAUGAUUCAUAUUAUUGCUUAAAAUCGCAAUAUUUAUACGUGAUAAAUCAGUCAAGUUUCUGACCUAUCAGUUAGUGUGUAGUGUAUUGGACUAUUGAGGCAUUAACGGGUAACAGAGAAUUAGGGUUCUGUUCCGGAGAGGGAGCCUGAGAUACAGCUACUACAUCUAAGGAAGGCAGCAGGCGCGUAAAUUACCCAAUUCUGAUAACGAGAGGUAGUGACAAGAAAUCGCAAUAUUUUGCCUUAGGGUUAAAUAAUUGUAUUGAGAACAAAGUAGAUAGUUUAUCAAUAAACAAUUGGAGGGCAAGUCUGGUGCCAGCAGCCGCGGUAAUUCCAGCUCCAAUAGU